ACGUUGUUUUGACAAUGUUGAGGAAGUGGCACAUUGAAAAUUAUUGUCUCAAUAACUAGCCAUUACAAAAAUAAUUCCGCAAUGGAAAGGCAAGGAAAACUUGAUAGAAUGCAUGCAUAUGGUUUGAAGCAGAGGCAGUUGUUCCAUCUUGUUCGAAAAAAGAUGGAUGGUUAUUUUGGUCAACUAGUGUUCAUACAAUGAUAGCUACCUAUUAUAACUUUUCAAUCAUUGACUUCUGCAACAAACUUAGACUUAAAAGAGUUAAAGUAACUGAAGAUAAAGAAGUAUGUGCAGGAUUUAAUUUCACGACUAAAGAGGACUCCGAAGAAGAAUUAAAGUUCUGAUGGAACAAAGAUCGAGGAAUGAUUUGGUUUUAACUGGUUUGCAUCUUAUGAACGAAGUACAUAAUAUGAUUUAAAUUGAUGAUUUAUAGUUACACCUAUUGAAAUUCUGUAUCUCAAUGAUAUCCUGGCUUAUCGAUACGAUAUCCUGUAAAUCCACUUACACACAUAAAUUUUACUCACAUACGUAAAUCCUCUAAAUUCACUUACACACAUAAAUCUUAAAAAAGAUGUUUAUAUUUUUAUCUAUAAAUUGUAAAUUUUAUAUAAAUAAAUUGUAUAGUUUUUAUGUUUUUCAU
rnacentral:lncRNA from 1 species